rnacentral:lncRNA from 1 species
GCUUUUUAAUUUAAACUUUAAUAACUAGUGCAAAUGUUUUACUUUAAAUUCAGUAAAAAAUCUCAAUAAUUGCUAUACCUUUUAUCUUUCCUUGAGAUUCAGAGAAUCGAGAAAAAAGUUUAUGCACACGGUUCCUGCUCAAACCACACUGAUCCAUGCGAACUGUUGCUCCAGCCUUGGAGAAAAGCCGUUCAGGGAGAACUGAUGUAGCCGCUAGAGCCAAGUACUUCAAUGCCACUUUGUAUAGGGUUGGAAAAGUGUCUUUAUGUUGCUCCAAUAAAAGAAUGGAUUUGACUUUGUCUGAAAGAGUUUGCUGGAAAUAUAAUGUUAGUUCCAAGGGAAAUUCAUCAAUUUCUCGUGAUUCACUUACACUUGGAUUUGUUAAUUUUGCUAUUACCUCAUCGUGAAUGAACCACAAAUCUUCCUCGUCUAAAUUCUGAGUAUUUUUGGGUACAUCUGUGGAUCUACUGUCGGGUACAGUUAUAGCUGAAUUUUCAUCUUACAUAAUUGAUAAGUGCUGUGACUGCAUUUGAUAUAUACGGUGGACUUUGGAAGUGAAUUUUUUUGUAUCUGGGGUCUACUAGUGUAACAAGAGAAAGCAUUUUAAUAUUUUCUAUCUUUCCUAAUCUUCUGGAAAUUUCUUUUUCCAGUUGUAACUUCUUUGCCUGGCUCCGUUGCACAAUGAACUUUGCGAAUUUUCGAUAUAAGCGGCUGUUAGGAUAUUUUUUUGCUAAUAACAACAGUUUAUUGGAAGAAAGCAUACUUGUGGAAUCUUAGGUAAAUGCAUAGACGUAUAUAGUUUUCCAGAAACAUGUAAGUAAUAUGGUUAGUAUUGGAUGUAAAAUAUUAUACAUUCCAAGAUGUGAAUUGUUUCUUAAUAAACAAAUUGAGGUGUAUGUAAACAUGGUAUCAAUAAGUGUACCUUCUGGAAGACAAACCGUCACUGAGAAUGAUUAAGAUCCAAAGACGAAGGAAAAUAAAACAAAUGUGGCUGUAAUGAAAGAAGUAUUACAAAAAGUUAUUUCAAAUACAGAAAUAGAGGAGGAUAAAUCAGCUAGUACGGAAAUUGAUAAGGCCUUUCUGAACUUUUUGGAGAAAUAACAAAAAUUAGAAGAAAGAAAUUUGAAAAAAUUAUUAGAAGCAUGUCAAAAAAAUCUCUACAGUAGCAGAUAUAAAAUGUAAUUUUUGGACAUGAUUCUAAAUAUAUGUUUGAUUUUAUUUUAUAAAAUUAAUUCACAUACUCUAUAUAUCUUGUUGGUUUUAUAUAUGUUUUGUAAUACUUCAUAAAAUCUCAAUGUUUUUUAAAUAGUGAGAAUAAUAAAAAAUACUCCCUCUGUC